rnacentral:rRNA from 1 species
CCUACGGGAGGCAGCAGUAGGGAAUCUUCCACAAUGGGCGAAAGCCUGAUGGAGCAACGCCGCGUGGGUGAAGAAGGUCUUCGGAUCGUAAAACCCUGUUGUUAGAGAAGAAAGUGCGUGAGAGUAACUGUUCACGUUUCGACGGUAUCUAACCAGAAAGCCACGGCUAACUACGUGCCCGCAGCCGCGGUAAUACGUAGGUUGCAAGCGUUAUCCGGAUUUAUUGGGCGUAAAGGGAACGCAGGCGGUCUUUUAAGUCUGAUGUGAAAGCCUUCGGCUUAACCGGAGUAGUGCAUUGGAAACUGGGAGACUUGAGUGCAGAAGAGGAGAGUGGAACUCUAUGUGUAGCGGUGAAAUGCGUAGAGAUAUGGAAGAACACCAGUGGCGAAGGCGGCUCUCUGGUCUGUAACUGACGCUGAGGUUCGAAAGCGUGGGUAGCAAACAGGAUUAGAUACCCUAGUAGUC